rnacentral:rRNA from 1 species
GCAUAUCAAAAGCGGAGGAAAAGAAACCAACAGGGAUUGCCUCAGUAACGGCGAGUGAAGCGGCAAAAGCUCAAAUUUGAAAUCCUUCGGGAGUUGUAAUUUGUAGGUUGGGAGACCCCGCGGCUAGUGGCACCAAGUCCCUUGGAACAGGGCGCCUUAGAGGGUGAGAGCCCCGUAGGUACCACAACACCGUCUUGUGUCUCCUCUCCAAAGAGUCGAGUUGUUUGGGAAUGCAGCUCAAAGUGGGUGGUAAAUUCCAUCUAAAGCUAAAUACCGGCGAGAGACCGAUAGCGAACAAGUACAGUGAUGGAAAGAUGAAAAGCACUUUGAAAAGAGAGUGAAACAGUACGUGAAAUUGUUGAAAGGGAAGGGCUUGCAAGCAGACACGGCCUUCGUGCCGGGCCAGCAUCGGUUGCUAGGGGUGGAUAAGGAACAAGGAAUGUAGCUCCUCGGAGUAUUAUAGCCUUGCGCGAUACACCCACUGGCGACCGAGGCCUGCGGUAUUCUUUACCUAGGAUGCUGGCGUAAUGGUUGCAAGCCGCCCGUCUUGAACCACGG